rnacentral:misc_RNA from 1 species
UCGUGGCGCUUGACGACACGGGCACGCCCGCGAUCGUCGAGGGCACCUAUCAGAGUCCGAUCCUGGUGCAGUGGCAGCUGGCGCCGCGCCAGACCAGGGUCAUCGACGUCACCCUCGCCGAACUGCGCUAGGGCGCCGCGGCAAAGUCCACGUUCUCCGUGAUGCGGGUGCCGUCCUGCUUGAAGGCCUCGACCAGCCGACGGAUCCGCCGGCGCGCUUCCUCCAGGUCGAGGUUGUUCAGGUUGACGUUCAGCAGGUCCACGAACCAGGGCAGCUUCACGCCCUCCAUGACGUAGGUCUCCACGAUCUCCCGCGAGAUGGGGAGCGUGGUGGUCUUGGACAUGUCGUAGACAUCGCGGUUGCCCGCGUGGAGGAGCUUCUCGUACUCCUCGGCGAGGAGCCUGGCGCACAACGCCGCCGUGAACCUAUCCCCCGCGCGGACACCUGAGGCGUCGUCGGCGGUGAUGGUGGCACCCUUGUGGAGCCACUCCCAGAGGAUGCUGAGGCGAAUCUCACCCGUCGCCAUGUCUUCCAUCAGGUACAGGACGUCGUCGUUCCCAAAGAAGUCCGCCGGCUUCAGGGCUGCCGCCUGCAGGCCCUGCCCGAAGGCGUUGCCGUAUUGGAGCGCCACGCUCAGCAGGUCGCGGGCGCCCCGGACGGUGCGGGGGGCGGGCUCGAGCAGCGUCAGCCCAUCGGCGUCGGCCGGCGUGUAGUUCAGCCGAUCGAAGGCGCGCCCCAGCUGGUUGGCGGCGCCCACCUUCUCCCACACAGGGCGCACGAUAUGGACCAUCUUCCAGUGCGCGACCCAUUUCCCGCUCGCGCCCUCCCGCUGUUCCCGCUCGGCACCGGCCGUGGCGCGCGCCAUGCUGCUCGCCACACCAGCCUGGGACCCCACGGGGAUAUUCGGUUCCAUCCCACCCUGCCACAGCGCACAGCGCCCCCGGCGGUCCGGCGUGUUCACGGCCCGCCGCACGCGGUCUUCGUAGUUGCGCAUGUACCCGUAGGUCAUCGUGAUGGCGUCGAUGUUCGGAUCGACGAACGCCGGAUCCCACGCCAUGGCGUCGGACACGCUGUUGAUGUAGUCCCACCGUCCCGUGUUGAACCCGACGAAGUGCACGCCGAGGGCCGCGCGAAUCUCCAUCAACUGAAAGCACGCCUCGACCUGCUCCACCAGCACGUACACCUUGACGGCGCCCUCCGGGACCCCGAUCUGUCGCUCGAUCCCGGAGAGGAUGGCGUUCCAGAGCGCGGCCUCUUCGGCCGUCUGGAUCUUCGGGAGGUACAGCACCAGUGACGCGGCGGCGUUGCGGAGCGCGGCGUGGUUGUUCACGAGAUACAGCGUCGCGUCGACGAUCGAGGCCGAGAAGCUGCUGCCGUCGGCAUGCCGGACAUGGCGAUCGUCGAGGUGCAGACCGCGGGCUCGGAAGAUCUUCGUCGUGAACGCAAGCUGGCUCCGCCAGUCGGCGAUGGUCUCCCGGCCCAGGAACCCCUGUGCCCAGCGGUUCAUCUCGCCGGCAACCUCCUGGGCCACCGCCAGGAAUACGGGGUCGCCGUCGAUUGCCAGCUUGAGGUUCCGUUGGUUGUCGAGCGACAUCGUCGACACCUGGCCAAGCGCGUCCUCACCGUCGAACAUCCAGCCGUCGGCGCCUGACAGGAGCGCAUAGGCCACGUUCCGGAGGCUCGUCUCGACCGAUGCGCCGGGGCGGGCCGCCGGGCCCGUGCCCUGGAUCCACUGCCGCUCGAGGUCCGGGGGAAUCUCGCCGCCGA